AUCUACAGCUGCUCUGGUGUUUUUCAGUUUCAAUUAAUUUAAUGGGAGCCUUUUCUUAUUUUUAUGAACUUUUGCUUCCAGAUCAGCAAUUGUAUAAUGCUUUAUCAGAGCAUUAAAACUUCUGUUCUGUUCGAGUCCAUGAACAUAUUUGAAAACAUCUAUGCAUAUAAUCACUGUAGAAGAAACCAGUGCUUUGUUCUUUGAGCUCAGUCUGAUUUCCUCUUGCUGGAUUUUAUAGGUGCGUAACACCAGGCAGUUUCACACUCUUCAUAUGACAUACUCAAGAACUGAAGAUGAAUAUCCAGCAGCUCCUCCUGGGGAAAUCUCAUUUGGCAUAGCUCUCCAACAUUCCCUUUCAGGAGGGAAUUUCACCAUUUACCUUUCAGGAGCAGGGGCAUGCAUUUUCUGCAGCUGUGCUUGAUUUAUCUCUAAAAAGCAGGAACAAUCAGAGGUCGACUUACUCCUAUACUUUGGCUCAUUGUCUUGCUGCAUAAUGCAGUUGUGCUUGAGUUUCAACUUGCGGACUGAAGACCGGAUAUUCUCCUUUAGGAUUUUCUGGUAGAGAGCAGAAUUCAUGUUUCCCUCAAUUAUUGCAAGUUGCCCAGGCCCUGAAGCAGUAAAGCAUCCCCACACCAUCAAACUUCCUCCACCAUGCUUGACUUUCCACUUUCGACUCAUCAGUCCACAAAACAUUCUCCCAAAAGGUUUGAGGAUCAUCAAGGUGUGUUUUGGCAAAAUUCAGAUGAGCCUUAAUGUUCUUCUGGGUUAGCAGUGGUUUUCACCUCGCCACUCUUCCAUGGAUGCAAUUUUUGCCCAGUGUCUUUCUGAUUGUGGAGUCAUGAACAGUGACCUUUACUGAUGCAAGUUCCUUUGAUGUUGUCCAUGGCUCUUUUGUGACUUGCUGGAUGAGUCGUUGCUGUGCUCUUUGAGGAAUUUUGGAAGGUGGGACACUUCUGGGAAGGUUCACUACUGUGCCGGGUUUUUCCAUUUGGAGAUAAUGGCUCUCACUGUGGAGUCCCAGAGCCUUUGAAAUAGUUUUGUAACCCUUCUUAUACUGAUGUAUUUCAAUCACGUUCUUCAUCAUCAUCAUUUUUGGAAUUUAUUUAAAUUUUGGCAUAGUGUGUUACUGGGUAAGACCUUUUAACCAACUUCUUGCCGUUGAAAAAGUUCUAUUCAAGUGUUGAUGUGAUUGAACAGGGUUCGCAGUAAUCAGGCCUGGUUUCGUCUAGUCCAGCUGAACCCCAUUAUGAAUGCAGUUUCAUAGAUUUAGGGAACUAAGGGGGCAAAUUUUCACAAAGGCCCAGUUGGUAUUGGAUAACAUUUUUGCUUCAAUAAAUAACAUCAUUUAAAAACUGUACUUUGUGUUUACUCAGGUUGCAUUUGUUUUAUCUUUAGAUUUAGUAUGAGAGAUUCAAAAAAACAGAAAAAAUCAGGAUGGUGCAAAUACUUUUUUACAGCACUGAAAAUAACAUUUC
ensembl:lncRNA